rnacentral:rRNA from 1 species
CACGUAGGGGGCGAGCGUUGUCCGGAUUUAUUGGGCGUAAAGAGCUCGUAGGCGGCUCGGUAAGUGAGGUGUGAAAACUCCAGGCUCAACCUGGAGACGCCACCUCAUACUGCCGUGCUAGAGUCCGGUAGGGGAGCAUGGAAUUCCUGGUGUAGCGGUGAAAUGCGCAGAUAUCAGGAGGAACACCAGUGGCGAAGGCGGUGCUCUGGGCCGGAACUGACG